rnacentral:lncRNA from 1 species
GGAAUUAUGAAAUAUGAUAUUGAAUUGUGUAUAUGAUAUUAUGGAUUUGCAAUGGUAUAAUUGUUGUCGAUUCGUUCGGCUAGUGUUGGGCACAACCAUCGUCAGUUAUCUGACUAGCGCUAGGCGCAACUUCUGUCAGUUUAUCUGACUAGCGUUGGGUACAAUCAUCGUCUGUUAUCCGAUUAGCGCUGGGCGCAACUUUCGUCAAUUUAUCUGACUAGUGCUGGGCACAACCAUCGUCGGUUAUCUGACUAGCGCUAGGCGCAAAACAUUGUCAACUUGUUCGACUAGUGUUGGGCACACAAAUGAUCUUGUCGAGUUAAACGACUAGCGUUGGGGACAAAACCUUAUUUACGGUCUAACCGUUAGGCACCGAGUGCCAUUUAUUGGAUGAUACAUUUCAGUAAGGUAUAAUAAUUCAUGAGAGGAUAUUUGUAUAUAAAUAAUGUUAUGGAUAUGAUUUAAUGAGAAUUAUGGUAAACUUCAUUGAGAUGACUUAUAUUUUAUGAAAUGUAAACUUUUGGUUAAUAGUUGUAAGUGGGAUCCUUUGAGAACAUGGGUUGCUUACUAUUUGAAUUUUCACUGGACUGCAGGUUAGAUAUUUACCAUUGUUCUACGACUAG